rnacentral:misc_RNA from 1 species
ACCGAGUUUACAACUCCCAAACCCCUGUGAACAUACCUAUACGUUGCCUCGGCGGAUCAGCCCCCCCGUUGAAGCAAGUGGACCAGGCGCCCGCCGGAGGACCCCUAAACUCUGUUUUAUUAUGUAUCUUCCUGAGUAAAACAAGCAAAUAAAUCA